rnacentral:rRNA from 1 species
CGUAUCACUUAAAGCGAUUCAGCGGGUUACGAUUGACGGAGCGAAGCGACGUCAAAGCGUAUACAAAGUCGAGUCGGUUUAAGGAUACGUUCGUUGGGUAGGGGAGCGUUCUGUAAGCCUGCGAAGGUGGCCUGUGAGGGUUGCUGGAGGUAUCAGAAGUGCGAAUGCUGACAUAAGUAACGAUAAAGCGGGUGAAAAGCCCGCUCGCCGGAAGACCAAGGGUUCCUGUCCAACGUUAAUCGGGGCAGGGUGAGUCGACCCCUAAGGCGAGGCCGAAAGGCGUAGUCGAUGGGAAACGGGUUAAUAUUCCCGUACUUGGUGUUACUGCGAAGGGGGGACGGAGAAGGCUAUGUUGGCCGGGCGACGGUUGUCCCGGUUUAAGCGUGUAGGCUGGUUUUCCAGGCAAAUCCGGAAAAUCAAGGCUGAGGCGUGACGACGAGGCACUACGGUGCUGAAGCAACAAAUGCCCUGCUUCCAGGAAAAGCCUCUAAGCAUCAGGUAACACGAAAUCGUACCCCAAACCGACACAGGUGGUCAGGUAGAGAAUACCAAGGCGCUUGAGAGAACUCGGGUGAAGGAACUAGGCAAAAUGGUGCCGUAACUUCGGGAGAAGGCACGCUGACACGUAGGUGAAGUGAUUUACUCAUGGAGCUGAAGUCAGUCGAAGAUACCAGCUGGCUGCAACUGUUUAUUAAAAACACAGCACUGUGCAAACACGAAAGUGGACGUAUACGGUGUGACGCCUGCCCGGUGCCGGAAGGUUAAUUGAUGGGGUCAGCGCAAGCGAAGCUCCUGAUCGAAGCCCCGGUAAACGGCGGCCGUAACUAUAACGGUCCUAAGGUAGCGAAAUUCCUUGUCGGGUAAGUUCCGACCUGCACGAAUGGCGUAAUGAUGGCCAGGCUGUCUCCACCCGAGACUCAGUGAAAUUGAACUCGCUGUGAAGAUGCAGUGUACCCGCGGCAAGACGGAAAGACCCCGUGAACCUUUACUAUAGCUUGACACUGAACAUUGAGCCUUGAUGUGUAGGAUAGGUGGGAGGCUUUGAAGUGUGGACGCCAGUCUGCAUGGAGCCGACCUUGAAAUACCACCCUUUAAUGUUUGAUGUUCUAACGUGGACCCGUAAUCCGGGUUGCGGACAGUGUCUGGUGGGUAGUUUGACUGGGGCGGUCUCCUCCUAAAGAGUAACGGAGGAGCACGAAGGUUGGCUAAUCCUGGUCGGACAUCAGGAGGUUAGUGCAAUGGCAUAAGCCAGCUUGACUGCGAGCGUGACGGCGCGAGCAGGUGCGAAAGCAGGUCAUAGUGAUCCGGUGGUUCUGAAUGGAAGGGCCAUCGCUCAACGGAUAAAAGGUACUCCGGGGAUAACAGGCUGAUACCGCCCAAGAGUUCAUAUCGACGGCGGUGUUUGGCACCUCGAUGUCGGCUCAUCACAUCCUGGGGCUGAAGUAGGUCCCAAGGGUAUGGCUGUUCGCCAUUUAAAGUGGUACGCGAGCUGGGUUUAGAACGUCGUGAGACAGUUCGGUCCCUAUCUGCCGUGGGCGCUGGAGAACUGAGGGGGGCUGCUCCUAGUACGAGAGGACCGGAGUGGACGCAUCACUGGUGUUCGGGUUGUCAUGCCAAUGGCACUGCCCGGUAGCUAAAUGCGGAAGAGAUAAGUGCUGAAAGCAUCUAAGCACGAAACUUGCCCCGAGAUGAGUUCUCCCUGAGACUUAGAGUCUCCUGAAGGAACGUUGAAGACGACGACGUUGAUAGGCCGGGUGUGUAAGCGCAGCGAUGCGUUGAGCUAACCGGUACUAAUGAACCGUGAGGCUUAACCUUAC